rnacentral:rRNA from 1 species
GACGAACGCUGGCGGCGUGCUUAACACAUGCAAGUCGAACGGAAAGGCCCUGCUUUUGUGGGGUGCUCGAGUGGCGAACGGGUGAGUAACACGUGAGUAACCUGCCCUUGACUUUGGGAUAACUUCAGGAAACUGGGGCUAAUACCGGAUAGGAGCUCCUGCUGCAUGGUGGGGGUUGGAAAGUUUCGGCGGUUGGGGAUGGACUCGCGGCUUAUCAGCUUAUUGGUGGGGUAAUGGCUUACCAAGGCUUUGACGGGUAGCCGGCCUGAGAGGGUGACCGGCCACAUUGGGACUGAGAUACGGCCCAGACUCCUACGGGAGGCAGCAGUGGGGAAUAUUGCACAAUGGGCGGAAGCCUGAUGCAGCAACGCCGCGUGCGGGAUGACGGCCUUCGGGUUGUAAACCGCUUUCGCCUGUGACGAAGCGUGAGUGACGGUAAUGGGUAAAGAAGCACCGGCUAACUACGUG